CUUGGAAGAACUACAACCAGGAAGAGCGCUAUCUGCUGGGCUGAGAAGACCCUGGGAGCCAAACAAAGGGUUUUGCUGGACAUAAUCCAAAACCAAAAGGACCUCAACCCACCUUUGUGAUGUGUGUUCUGAGACCAGCUUCGAUGCCUGGACGCUGUUAUCCCAGGCCCAAGCUGUGACAAAUAAGAUGGGUCAUACUAUGCGCUGUGACACUUUGAUGGGGAAAAUACACAACGUGAAGAAAAAACAUAAUGCCAACUUUAGGGAAGGAAUGGGGGAUUUGCUGAUGGUAAGAAGCCC